CCUACGGGAGGCAGCAGUGAGGAAUAUUGGUCAAUGGACGAGAGUCUGAACCAGCCAAGUAGCGUGAAGGAUGACUGCCCUAUGGGUUGUAAACUUCUUUUAUAAAGGAAUAAAACGAGGCACGUGUGCCUUUUUGCAUGUACUUUAUGAAUAAGGAUCGGCUAACUCCGUUCCAGCAGCCGCGGUAAUACGGAGGAUCCGAGCGUUAUCCGGAUUUGUUGGGUUUAAAGGGAGCGUAGAUGGGUUGUUCAGUCAGUUGUGAAAGUUUGGGGCUCAACCGGAAAAGUGCAAUUGAUACUGGCAGUCUUGAGUACAGUUGAGGGAGGCGGAAUGCGGGGUGUAGCGGUGAAAUGCUUAGAUAUCACGAAGAACCCCGAUUGCGAAGGCAGCUUACUAAACUGUGACUGACGUUGAUGCUCGAAAGUGUGGGUAUCAAACAGGAUUAGAUACCCCGGUAGUC
rnacentral:rRNA from 1 species